CUGGGUGUAGCGCAGUUUGGUAGCGUGCUUGAAUGGGGUUCAAGAGGUCGCAAGUUCGAUUCUUGUCACCCAGACCA
rnacentral:tRNA from 1 species